AGUGCCUGGUUUAUGCAAACAGGAAUCUAGAAGCAGUUCCAGGUGAAAAGGUUCUGCGAGACAAUAAGGAACAACGUGAUCAACAAAAUCGUCUGAAAGAAAUAGAUCAUCAGCUGAAAUCCCUAGAGAGAAAUCUUACUGAAAAACAAACGGGCCUCUCUGAAGAGCAGCUUAAGACCCUUCUGGAAGAAUGUAUGCAGCCUCAGAGAACAAUAAGCAACGUUACCAUGCCAAAGUCUCAGGAAUCUCUUUCUUUUGGAUUAAGUCCCCCUUGUUACACAAGUCAAGACUCUACUCCUCACUCCACAUCUACUCUUUCCAAAAUGUUAGUUGAAGACCAUAUUGUAGGGAUGUUAACAGCUCACGAAAAGGCUGGACUUGAAGACAAAAGCUUAUGUGUUAAUGCAGAGAGUGAAAUCCCUGGCUACUAUACCAGCAAAGCACUGGCUGAUAGUCAGUUAUCAAAGGAUUCACUGGCCCAAACAGAGGAACCUGAUGACCUAGAAGGUUUACAGAAGAUGGGAGAUAAGAGUAUUAUUGAAGGUUACUUUAUGUCAAGAGCACUCAACACAAAAAGGAUGAAGAAACCUUCUUUCUUGGGUGAACCAUUAUAUUGCAUCAGUGUGAACAAUGAGCCAUCCACGGAGGCUGACAUUCUCGGCAUACCACUGCAAACCAAAGGAGAUGAUACGAAGAUUGAAAGUUGAGGGGAGAGUGAUUAUAUGCUUCUUUACACAACUGUUUUUCUGAAAGUGUGGUUAAACCUCCAUCAGUUAUAUUAUACUGACACGGUAUCAUUUCAGACGACCUCAAGGGAAUGAAUUAUCAUAACGGAAAACUGUUCCAUGAACUGAUAUAUUCUUAAGAGAUAGUUAUUAUUAUUAUUAUCAUUAUCAUAUAUUGUUGCAGUUUGACUUCAAAAUAAACUCUGCAUUUCAUUAAAUUUCCUGUGAGUG
rnacentral:lncRNA from 1 species